UACGGAGGGUGCAAGCGUUAAUCGGAAUUACUGGGCGUAAAGAGUGCGUAGGUGGUUGAAUAAGUUAUCUGUGAAAUCCCUGGGCUUAACCUGGGCAGGUCAGAUAAUACUGUUUGACUCGAGUAUGGGAGAGGGUAGUGGAAUUUCCGGUGUAGCGGUGAAAUGCGUAGAGAUCGGAAGGAACACCAGUGGCGAAGGCGGCUACCUGGCCUAAUACUGACGCUCAUGCACGAAAGCGUGGGGAGCAAACAGG
rnacentral:rRNA from 1 species